GCNNGUCGNNCGGAAACNGGACGCUGUGAUCCCUUCGGGGUGAACUUGUCGCUGUCGAGUGGCGGACGGGUGAGUAAUGCUUAGGAAUCUGCCCAGUAGUGGGGGACAACACGGGGAAACUCGUGCUAAUACCGCAUACGCCCUACGGGGGAAAGCGGGGGAUCUUCGGACCUCGCGCUAUUGGAUGAGCCUAAGUCGGAUUAGCUUGUUGGUGGGGUAAUGGCCCACCAAGGCGACGAUCCGUAGCUGGUCUGAGAGGACGAUCAGCCACACUGGAACUGAGACACGGUCCAGACUCCUACGGGAGGCAGCAGUCGGGAAUAUUGGACAAUGGGGGAAACCCUGAUCCAGCAAUGCCGCGUGUGUGAAGAAGGCCUGCGGGUUGUAAAGCACUUUCAGUAGAGAAGAAAAUCACAGGGAUAAUACCCCUGUGUCUUGACGUAACCUACAGAAGAAGCUCCGGCUAACUCCGUGCCAGCAGCCGCGGUAAUACGGAGGGAGCGAGCGUUAAUCGGAAUUACUGGGCGUAAAGCGCGCGUAGGCGGUCUGGUCAGUCGGAUGUGAAAGCCCCGGGCUUAACCUGGGAAUUGCAUUCGAUACUGCCAAACUAGAAUGUGGGAGAGGGAAGUGGAAUUUCCGGUGUAGCGGUGAAAUGCGUAGAUAUCGGAAGGAACACCAGUGGCGAANGNGGCUUCCUGGCCCAACAUUGACGCUCANGUGCGAAAGCGUGGGGAGCGAACAGGAUUAGAUACCCUGGUAGUCCACGCCGUAAACGAUGAGAACUAGAUGUCGGGAGGGUUUAGCCUCUNNNNGUCNCAGCUAACGCGUUNAGUUCUCCG
rnacentral:rRNA from 1 species